rnacentral:ncRNA from 1 species
ACAAUGGCAAAGAAGAGGAGUAGUAAGAGCCUAUCGUUUUCAGAGAGCUGCCGGCAGGUGUGAGGCAGCAGCGUAAUCUCCGAACUCACCUUGGAGCCCUUCUAUUGAACGAGAGAUACAGAAUACACUGUAUGGAAGUAGAUAGAGGCGGGACUUCCCGUUACAGAAGCAAUGAGUGCGUACAGUGAGAUGCUGUAUGAAUAAGAGUGGUACCACGGAAGUCAGCCUUUUCGUCUCUUGA